UACGUAGGGAGCAAGCGUUGUCCGGAAUCAUUGGGCGUAAAGCGCCCGUAGGUGGCCUCAUAAGUCCGCUGUGAAAGUCAAAGGCUCAACCUUUGAAAGCCGGUGGAUACUGUGAGGCUAGAGUACGGAAGAGGCGAGUGGAAUUCCUGGUGUAGCGGUGGAAUGCGCAGAUAUCAGGAGGAACACCAAUAGCGAAGGCAGCUCGCUGGGACGUUACUGACACUGAGGCGCGAAAGCGUGGGGAGCGAACAGG
rnacentral:rRNA from 1 species